CCUACGGGAGACUGCAGUGGGGAAUAUUGGGCAAUGGGCGCAAGCCUGACCCAGCAACGCCGCGUGAAGGAAGAAGGCUUUCGGGUUGUAAACUUCUUUUCUCAGGGACGAAGAAAGUGACGGUACCUGAGGAAUAAGCCACGGCUAACUACGUGCCAGCAGCCGCGGUAAUACGUAGGUGGCAAGCGUUAUCCGGAUUUACUGGGUGUAAAGGGCGUGUAGGCGGGACUGCAAGUCAGAUGUGAAAACCACGGGCUCAACCUGUGGCCUGCAUUUGAAACUGUAGUUCUUGAGUACUGGAGAGGCAGACGGAAUUCCUAGGGUAGCGGUGAAAUGCGUAGAUAUUAGGAGGAACACCAGUGGCGAAGGCGGUCUGCUGGACUGCAACUGACGUUGAGGCCCGAAAGCGUGGGGAGCAAACAGGAUUAGAUACCCGUGUAGUG
rnacentral:rRNA from 1 species